UCGGGAAUUUUGGGCAAUGGGCGAAAGCCUGACCCAGCAACGCCGCGUGAAGGAUGAAGUAUUUCGGUAUGUAAACUUCGAAAGAAUAGGAAGAAUAAAUGACGGUACUAUUUAUAAGGUCCGGCUAACUACGUGCCAGCAGCCGCGGUAAUACGUAGGGACCAAGCGUUGUUCGGAUUUACUGGGCGUAAAGGGCGCGUAGGCGGCUUGACAAGUCACUUGUGAAAUCUCUGGGCUUAACCCAGAACGGCCAAGUGAAACUGUCAUGCUAGAGUGCAGAAGGGGCAAUCGGAAUUCUUGGUGUAGCGGUGAAAUGCGUAGAUAUCAAGAGGAACACCUGAGGUGAAGACGGGUUGCUGGGCUGACACUGACGCUGAGGCGCGAAAGCCAGGGGAGCAAACGGGAUUAGAUACCCCGGUAGUCCCUGAGCGGGCUGGCAAGGCGCAU
rnacentral:rRNA from 1 species